UUAUUUUAAACUGCAUAGGAGUGUUGUAUGAAAAAUGAAUGUGUGACACUCUACUAUGUCUUAACUUGAUUUGAUCGACAGUCAGACUUGAGAUUCACAGUAGACUUCAUCAAGCACCAAUUGUACUUGCCUUGAAUAAAAUGUGUAGGACCAGUGUCAUAGCAUGCACAACGACAACACAACAGAGGUCUCAUGAUUCUCAGACACAGCCUUGGAUGUCCCAGUCAUUCUGCACCCUGGGUGUGUGGCCACAAGGAAUAAAGUUGAUUGAAUACAACUUCAGCUCGGGAAAACCAUCAGCUCUGAGCUCCUCCCUUCAGUUUUUAUAUCAAGCCAUGUGUAUGUGACUGAGUAAUCACAUCUAAUCAGGUUUAUGUGAUUAGCCCCAUUUCUUCAGGGCAGUUCCAUUUCAUUAGUUCCCAAUUACUCGCUAAACAACCUUGACAAUGAGUUACACACGCUUAAUCGUUUCCAUGGAACUCUCAUUUCUCUUGCAUCAAUAUAGGAAAAUAUCUAACUAUUCCUCAGUUGCUGCUGCAAAUCAAAGGUCUAGUCUUCAGGCAUUUCCAGAGAGGAGGCCAAAGAAAGAGCUGUUAGUCCUUUUUUGGUAUAUAAAAUGCUCAGGAUAGUGCCUGACACGUAGUAAGCAAACAAAAACCUCACAGAAUCAUUGAAUUUGUUUUUUCAAAAGUGGCAAAUAAAGUGUGUAUUCUGAUACUGUAAUUUAAAUAGAACAAAGGAAUCCACUGCUUGGUUGUAAUAUCUUUUCUUCAUUGAUAAUUUUCAAAAUGAUUGUUGCUAAAAUCAGAGGUUAUCCCUAUGCCUCUGUCAAAUUCCUUUCACAUCAAAUAAAAUUAAAUCCUAUGAUGUCCUUGAAAUCAUGUUGUGUUACAGGUCAGUGGUUAUCACAGAUGACUUUAAAUAUUCAUUACAGGAAUAUUGAGGGAUGAUGGCAAGUCGUGGUCUUGAGAGUCAUUGCUGACUUAGGCUAUUGGAGUGUGAGUUGGUCAUUAAACUGUGAAGGAUCAUUCAUAUCAACACGAAAGUCCCCUUGAUUAGGAAGUUACCUAGUUGGUAACUAAGAAUAUUGGUUGAAGGAAGUGAAAGGGUAGUGAAAAGAGAAGUUGGUCCAAGAGCAUGGCUUAUAAGAGGAUUGUGCAAGAAGAUGGUAGUUAACUACUUUUUAUAAUAAAUAACCAUGAAUUUGGGGGUCAGAGAGUGAAAUAGAGAGAUGAUGGGGACAGAAAUAAGGGAUAAGAGAAUAGAUGAGGCAACUUGAUAGAAGGCCUCACCCUUUAGAGAAAAGCCAGUAAAAUACUCCUCUCAGUGGGAUGUACAAGAUACUAGUCACAAGAAUGUCAAAUUCUCAUUUUUAACACAUCAGUGUUACUGCUUAUAAAGCCUCUCUGCAUUGCCAGAUCUUCAGUUCAAUUUAUUACUUUUAUAGUUUUGGGGAGUAGAAUGGUAGCAAAUAUUACAACUGGGCUAUGAACAGAUAUAACAUGACUCACAUUGGCCUCUCUGUUGAAGUCAAUGUGAUAGAAACAGCUGUUCUUGAGGCACCGCAGUCCAGAUGUUUGAUGUGGUGACUGACAGCAAAGUGAGGUGUAACCUGUGGUCUGGUGAAGCAUUCUGUGCAGCAGUGGAGCACAGGUGGAUGACUCAGGACACUAAGCUCCUUCUCCCAUAUUUUCCAAGGAAGGCCAUGCCAGGGGAAACACACAUGCUGAUUAAAUAAUGAAAGAGAAUCGUCUGGAUAGAGUUGGAACAUUCUCGAUAAAUAUUAAUUUUUAACCAUUACUAGUUAAUUUAUUUUAGUUAUUCUCUGAAUUUGAGCAGAAUCUCUUUCUCCUUUUUUUAAUUCCUUGGGCUUGUGUGUGCUCUCAAGACUUAGAAUGUGAGGUCACAAUGUUUCCUGUGAUACAGACUUGAAAGAGUAUAUAGGUCUUUCUCUGUACUCAUUGUAGCUCAGUACUAUUCCUAGCUUCUUAGCCCCUUCAUGGCUUUCUAAAGGAAGGAAAAGCUAAUUAUUGGUGUUUCAGGACUGGGAAAAGCCAAGAAAAAAGGGAUUUUUUUCCCUUCCUGUGGCAUCAGUUUGAUAGCUUGUUUUCUAGAUAAUAGAGGGAAGGUUACCUAUCAAAGGGCACAGUCUUUUUCCAAUAGCAAUAGUAACAACCUCAUUUAUUGAGAACCGAAUACCUAGAAACUCUGAAUCUUACAAGACUUCUUCAAGGGGCAUGGAGGCACUGACUUCUUGCAAGGGAGAAAGGCACUAGGGAAAGAAGAUGGAGACAGUAACAAAGCAAAAUUUUCUCAUGUGCAGUUUAUACAAGGAUGGCUCACAAAUAGAAUUAUUCUACUCAUGAAGGAAAAAGAAAUACAACAAACCAAAUGAUCCACCUGAAAUUAUUUCCUCUUUAGCUACACAAACAGGUAAAAAGAAAUCCAUACAUUACAUUUUACAAUUUUAUUCUGAAGAAGUGUCCACUUCUGAGCAAGAUGGAGUAGGUGGGACUGGAUUCACCCUCCAGCCUGAAGCAAUAAAAAAAAAAAAAGAAAGAAACCUGGCAACACAUACAAAACAAUGAUUUUCAAGGCAUCAGCUAUCAGAUAAUGAAGAGUAGUCAUCCCUAAGAAACAAACAAGGUGAGCCCUAUUGCUUGAACUUACGACCAUGAAAGAGUUUCCAGGCAACAGUACAGGGAGAGGGAUUCGUGGAGAGCCAAGUGUUUGAGGAGACCUAGACAGAUGAAAUUCACGGGACAGAGUACCUGAGAGGAGAGCUGCACAGAGACAGACCAGAGAUCUGCAGAAGCUUCCUUUUAGCAUUCGACUGAGUUUAUAUCAGCACAUGCAUGUGAGGAAAGUUCCCAAGACCUGGGAAAGAAUAAAGCUGAAAUGAUUAGAGAUAA